rnacentral:tRNA from 1 species
GGGACUAUAGUUAAUAAUAACAUUUGAGUUGCAUUCAAAAAGUACUAAUACUAUAGUUAGUCUCA